rnacentral:rRNA from 1 species
AUUGAACGCUGGCGGCAUGCCUUACACAUGCAAGUCGAACGGCAGCACGGGUGCUUGCACCUGGUGGCGAGUGGCGAACGGGUGAGUAAUACAUCGGAACGUACCUUAUCGUGGGGGAUAACGCAGCGAAAGCUGUGCUAAUACCGCAUACGCCCUGAGGGGGAAAGCGGGGGAUCGCAAGACCUCGCGCGAUUAGAGCGGCCGAUGCCUGAUUAGCUUGUUGGUGGGGUAAAAGCCCACCAAGGCGACGAUCAGUAGCUGGUCUGAGAGGACGAUCAGCCACACUGGGACUGAGACACGGCCCAGACUCCUACGGGAGGCAGCAGUGGGGAAUUUUGGACAAUGGGGGCAACCCUGAUCCAGCAAUGCCGCGUGAGUGAAGAAGGCCUUCGGGUUGUAAAGCUCUUUUGUCAGGGAAGAAACACCGGCUCUAACACAGUCCGGGAAUGACGGUACCUGAAGAAUAAGCACCGGCUAACUACGUGCCAGCCGCCGCGGUAA